UACGUAGGGGGCUAGCGUUGUUCGGAAUUACUGGGCGUAAAGCGUACGUAGGCGGCUUUGUAAGUUAGAGGUGAAAGCCCAGGGCUUAACCCUGGAAUUGCCUUUAAGACUGCAUCGCUAGAAUCGUGGAGAGGUAAGUGGAAUUCCGAGUGUAGAGGUGAAAUUCGUAGAUAUUGGGAAGAACACCGGUGGCGAAGGCGGCGACCUGGUCCUUGACUGACGCUGAGGCGCGAAAGCGUGGGGAGCAAACAGG
rnacentral:rRNA from 1 species